rnacentral:rRNA from 1 species
UACGUAGGGUGCAAGCGUUGUCCGGAAUUAUUGGGCGUAAAGAGCUCGUAGGCGGUUCGUCGCGUCGGCUGUGAAAACCCGGAGCUCAACUCCGGGCCUGCAGUCGAUACGGGCAGGCUAGAGUUCGGUAGGGGAGACUGGAAUUCCUGGUGUAGCAGUGAAAUGCGUAGAUAUCAGGAGGAAUACCGAUGGCGAAGGCAGGUCUCUGGGCUAUAACUGACGCUCAUGCACGAAAGCGUGGGAGCAACAGG